UCCUUUAAGGAGCAGAUUAUAGUGGUCUGUGUCUCAUCUUCACAAACAAGGAUCCUAAUGAAGACAAGAUAGAGCAGCUGUAUAAAAGAGAGAAUCAGCAGAAGUAUGCCUUGUGCUCAGGGUUCUCUGGAUUCCUUUCGUCUCCUCAAAUAUGGUAUCACUCCUGCAGAUGCAUUUACAGAUUGUAAGGGUUCCUUAUUGGAAACAAGACAUAGGGUAGCUCCUGGCAUGUUUUUGAUGUACGUUCAAGGAAAGCUACUCUUUGCCAACUGUAUUUUCAAUGGGUACAGCAAGUCAACUAAAGACCUUCAAAAACAGCCAAGAUGAGGAUUGAUUAUCACAUGGGUUAGUGUUUUCCGAGCGAUUUCAAGUUCAGGUAUUUCUAUCAUGAUGGUUUUUAAUGACUUUAUCCUGAGACCUUUGGCUUCUUUGUUCAGUUUCUUAAAUGUAAAGCACCGUGACUCUGAGCAGCAAGUACAGCAGUCUCAAUAUCAAUGCAUUUGCACCUUUUCUGUGUGUUUACAAGUUCUCCAUCUCGUAUAUUCCUCUCUGUCCCAUUCAACAGUUAGGGCUGUCUAACCCUAACCGCUGAGCUACAGAAUCUUUACUGGCAGUUACUGGCAAGGAGGAAAUGAGAAAACAGAUGAAGGUCCUGGACUCAUCCCCCAUUUCUUUUCUGUAUGUCUGAAUAACACAUUUUAUGGGCUGUUAUAUUUACAUUUUGGCACUAUCCAUAAAAAUUUAAUUGCAAUUAAAGGACCAAUUACUUUAGUCAGGUGUCUUCUGGCAGCUAGCUGCUUCAUUUAAUUAAAAGUAGCAGGGAAGCUUUAGAAGCAUAACCUGGAGAAAAAGCAGCAGAUGGUCCACUACUUCACAGCUGCACACCGAGCAUACAGCUCAUGGAGGGAGCGUUCCCAGGAGUUAAAGCAUAUGCUGCAACAGUCAGCUCUCUUAUAGAAGUUUCCAGAGCAGAAACAAUGACAGGCAGAAAGCGGAAAUAAUUGCAACUUUUGCAAUUUAUUUAUUACAUAGCGUUUGGGAACCAUAUCAUUACUUUUAAUUUAGUGGUGCUGCAAACCAGUAAUCCAACCGGAACUUCAGAGUGCCUGGUAUGAAUGCAAAGGCCACCGCAUUCCACUACUGAUUUAACCAAUAAAUUCUGCAGGGUGUGAUGAUGAUGAUGAUCUAUUAAAUGAGUGCUAAUAGCUGGGAAGCAGUUAUUAGCAGUGACAACAAAGAACACAGGAUAUAACCCAAAAUGAAGUGUGCAGUCUUUUGCCGAGCUGCUCUUAGCCAGCUCUGACAGGUCACGGAAAGUUUGUUCCUGUCUUGUCUUUUUCGGUUUAACAAAACAAUGUAUUUCAUUUAUAUUGAAGCGCAGAAACCAGCACAUAUUAUAGCUGCAGUCCAUUCUUCUCUGAAGGAAGCUUCACAUGUGUACACAGAACAAUUACUGGAGUAGUAGAGAAGUUAGGGAUUAAGUAUGACAGGUAAUUAACAGUAGCAUUUUCAAAAGUAUUAAUUACCGGCCUACCGUGUUUUCCCUCAGUCAGUGGCAAGCUUUCUUGAUUGCAGUCAGGACAGAUUAGUUUUAGGCUGGGUGUUUUUGCAAAUGCUUCUCUGAGUGACUGGGAAGGCUGCACUGGCCUGUGGAAUUCCCUGUGCUGGUUCUUCUCUACACCAGAAUUUUCCUAAAUAUCUCCCACUGUGGCAUCAUCCCUAAAUGCAACUUUAGAAGUAAAUGUAUGCAGUCGCACAGAGGGUGUUUGCCUAACCUACGUCUAAGUAUAACUGAUGCCACAUGUGGUCAGAGCCAGCAUGGUUAUUCUGCAUCUGUGUUUCUUCCCCUUGCUACCACAGCACCACGACAAGAAAUCCUUAAAUGGGACACUCCACAGGGUUCUUUCAUGCACAGGCUGUGAGCACACAAGCAGAUGCAGCUGGGGGCACAAAAACAGUCUUAAUGAAGGAGAGGGUGAUGAAGAGUCUGAGAGACAACCAA